rnacentral:rRNA from 1 species
UACGUAGGGUGCGAGCGUUAAUCGGAAUUACUGGGCGUAAAGUGUGCGCAGGCGGCUGAGCAAGUCGAGUGUGAAAGCCCCGAGCUUAACUUGGGAAUUGCGCUCGAAACUACUUGGCUGGAGUGUGGCAGAGGAAGGUGGAAUUCCACGUGUAGCGGUGAAAUGCGUAGAGAUGUGGAGGAACACCAAUGGCGAAGGCAGCCUUCUGGGCCAACACUGACGCUCAUGCACGAAAGCGUGGGGAGCAAACAGG